rnacentral:rRNA from 1 species
AUUGAACGCUGGCGGCAGGCCUAACACAUGCAAGUCGGACGGUAGCACAGAGAGCUUGCUCUCGGGUGACGAGUGGCGGACGGGUGAGUAAUGUCUGGGGAUCUGCCCGAUAGAGGGGGAUAACCACUGGAAACGGUGGCUAAUACCGCAUAACGUCGCAAGACCAAAGAGGGGGACCGUCGGGCCUCUCACUAUCGGAUGAACCCAGAUGGGAUUAGCUAGUAGGCGGGGUAACGGCCCACCUAGGCGACGAUCCCUAGCUGGUCUGAGAGGAUGACCAGCCACACUGGAACUGAGACACGGUCCAGACUCCUACGGGAGGCAGCAGUGGGGAAUAUUGCACAAUGGGCGCUAGCCUGAUGCAGCCAUGCCGCGUGUAUGAAGAAGGCCUUCGGGUUGUAAAGUACUUUCAGCGGGGAGGAAGGCGAUGUGGUUAAUAACCGCGUCGAUUGACGUUACCCGCAGAAGAAGCACCGGCUAACUCCGUGCCAGCCGCCGCCGUAACAC